rnacentral:tRNA from 1 species
GGGGAAGUAGCUCAAUGGUAGAGCAUUCCUCAGUCCCUGGGUUCAAUCCUUAGCUCCACCA